rnacentral:ncRNA from 2 species
GGCGCAGCGACGGGAGAAGCCGGACCAUGCCAGGCAUGGCCCCGGUGCCGAAGGAGCAACCGCCCCGGUAAACUCUCAGGCAAAAGGACCGCCGCCGCGAC